UACGUAGGGGGCAAGCGUUGUCCGGAUUUAUUGGGCGUAAAGAGCGUGUAGGCGGCUUUACAGGUCCGUUGUGAAAACUCGAGGCUCAACCUCGAGACGCCGGUGGAAACCGUAAAGCUAGAGUCCGGAAGAGGAGAGUGGAAUUCCUGGUGUAGCGGUGAAAUGCGCAGAUAUCAAGAAGAACACCCGUGGCGAAGGCGGCUCUCUGGGACGGUACUGACGCUGAGACGCGAAAGCGUGGGGAGCGAACAGG
rnacentral:rRNA from 1 species